rnacentral:rRNA from 1 species
AACGAACGCUGGCGGCAGGCCUAACACAUGCAAGUCGAACGCUGUAGCAAUACAGAGUGGCAGACGGGUGAGUAACGCGUGGGAACCUUCCCAAUGGUGCGGAAUAGCUCAGGGAAACUUGAGGUAAUACCGCAUAAGCCCUUAGGGGGAAAGAUUUAUCGCCAUUGGAUGGGCCCGCGUCGGAUUAGCUAGUUGGUGAGGUAAUGGCUCACCAAGGCAACGAUCCGUAGCUGGUUUGAGAGAAUGACCAGCCACACUGGGACUGGGACACGGCCCAGACUCCUACGGGAGGCAGCAGUGGGGAAUCUUGGACAAUGGGCGCAAGCCUGAUCCAGCCAUGCCGCGUGAGUGACGAAGGCCUUAGGGUUGCAAAGCUCUUUUGCCGGGGACGAUAAUGACGGUACCCGGAGAAUAAGCCCCGGCUAACUUCGUGCCAGCAGCCGCGGUAACAC